GCCGAUGUGGUGAAAUUGGUAGACACGCCAUCUUGAGGGGGUGGUGAUCGCAAGGUCAUGCUGGUUCGAGUCCAGUCAUCGGCACCA
rnacentral:tRNA from 1 species